CGCCAAAAGAACAGAUUGUCCUGGAAGUUAGUGGGCUGCUUAAAAAAUUGGGCUUCAAUUUGAACCCCAGACUCUAUAAUUUGAGCAAGAUAGUUGACUGGUUUUUUACUUUUGCAUUCUAUUUAUUUUUGUUUUUGUUUCUCUGACCUUCUGAUCACUUCAAAAAAAAAAAAAAUGGUGAGAUUUUCUCCAAACAAGUUCGUAUUAGCUGUCGAGAGAGGCCUAAGAUGCGUGUCACACUCUCAAAUGAGAUUUUUGACGGUAUAAAUGAUCAUUCUUGCCUUUCUAAGGUAUGAUUCUGACUUCAUUCUUGUCUUAAUAUUCUGCAAUGAAUUGAUUUUAUGUGAGAAGUUAUGUUAUUUCUGUUUAUUAAAGGAUGGUGAUUUAUUAACUUUAAGCUUUUUGUACCAUUUCUUUUUCGUUUGUUUUUGGCAGUUCUAAAGGCACUUUUAAUCUGGUUUAGCACUUUGAUUGCGUUUCUGUACUAGAUUUUAAAAAAGAAAAAACUUCAUUUUCUCAACAACCAAACGAAGGUUUAGGAUUAAUAAAUUAUGUGCAAUGGCUUGAUUGUGAUUGUGAUGUGGAGUGCAGAUGAGAUUGCGAAGCUGUUUCCGUGCCAUUUCGGGCAGCCAUCUGCAAUGUUGGUACCGGGCAACUCAGCCGAGUGCCUAUCUGGUAAAAACUUGAAGAUUGGAGUGGUUUUGUCAGGAGGCCAAGCUCCUGGAGGACACAAUGUAAUCUCUGGGAUCUUCGAUUACUUGCAGGAUUGUUGCAAAGGAAGCACACUAUAUGAAAUGCAAAUAUGUGGUGCUGAACUCGCUGAUUAUUUACCCAUAUAGAAAUCAGGGACAACAGUACAAAAAGUGAGCAAUGGAUUGGCAGGGACAUGAACUAAGCUCAAAUAAAUUAGAGGAGUCAUGUCUAAUCUAUUUGUAUUUCUUUCUACCAUGGUGGCUUUGAUAUGAUCCGUAGUGGAAGAGACAAAAUUGAAACCCCAGAACAGUUUAAGCAAGCUGAAGAAACGGCAUUAAAACUUGAUUUGGAUGGGCUUGUUGUAAUUGGUGGGGACGACCCGAAUACAAAUGCUUGCCUCCUUGCCCAAAACUUUAGUUGUUAUGCACUCCUACUGGUCAGACAUUACUUGUUGCAUUGUAUUCAGGAGUAAAAAUUUGAAAACUCAGGUGAUUGGAUGCCCUAAGACCAGUGAUGGGGAUUUGAAAUGCAAGUCCAUCAGAAGCACUAACCCACUAGGCAAUCGAGUCAUUUGCGAGUCUCUUAUUUUUUUACGAUUUGAUGCAUAUCCUUAGGAUUUGAGACAUUAGAAAUUCUUUUAUUUCUCUUGAGACAUAGUUACAUUCAUAAAUGCAUUGUAAUUUUUUUUUUUGACUAUUGUGGAUUGGGUUUAUUUGGUUAGUAAAUUUGGUUUAUGAAUGGAUUAAUGAUGAUUAUAAAAUUUUGAUUUUUUUUUUAAAUGUUUCAUUUAAAUAUAUUGUUAUAGCCUUUACAAAUAAGUGUCAUUAUUAUGGAUUUGGUUUGUUUGGUUAGUAAAUUUGGUUUAUGAAUGGAUUGAUGUUAAUAUUAAAAAUUUGAUUUUUUUUUUUUA